rnacentral:miRNA from 1 species
AGGGGACUGGUUAAUAGAACUA